CUAAAUUGCCCAAAGUCUAAAUAUGAUUGCCGUUGUGAACUGAAAAUCGUGAGUAAUAAUUAAGAACGUGAGUGAUGUUAUUAGAUUGGGGCAUACGCUGCAACGAGUCGUGUUCGCGUUGAUGAAUUCAUUCGAAUGGGUAAGCUUUGGAUACAAGCCGUAAAAAUGGUAUUUUCCUCUUUUAGAGUACUUGUAUCUAAACAUGACGCUCUUCUAGCUUCUUCCAAAGGUCUGCAAUGACUUCUUGCAUUGUAGCCAGUUGCGCAGUCUUGGCUUUAGAAUCCUUUUCCAAAGAUUGUAUCCUAGAUUGUUGCGCACCGUUCGUCGAUCUUAAUUCUUGGAUUGUCGUAUCUCGAUCAGUGAUCUCCUGCCACAAUUGUUGAUAUAUCUGAGGAUCCUGCUGCGUGCAGUACUGGAGAUCGAGGGCUAGUAUGCGAGAAUAUAUAGGAUUAGUUUAUGAAUCGAAUGACCG
rnacentral:sRNA from 1 species